rnacentral:lncRNA from 1 species
ACUCCAACGCUCACAUUUCCCUACUCGGUGCUGGGGUUCCUGUCUGUGCAGUUCUGCUUGGUGACAUGGCUGCCUUGGGAGGGAGGGAGCUGUUCCUGUCAAGACUGGCAAGAGUGAUGCAGAGAGAGAUGGCACUGGGUGACUUCUGAGCUACUUCCAACGCUCAUAGUCUGCGAUUCUAUGGAACUCACUUGGCCCAGGAAGGGGCUUCCAGAAAGGUGAGGAAACUACAGCACACAGAGAGGAAGUCACGCGUCGUAGCCAAACGACUAGGAAGUAGUGCUGCCCAGAUCUGAACCCAAGCAGCCUGACCGUGGCAUCCCCAUUUGACACCACUGUACGCACUGCAAAGUGGCUCCUUCUGGGGAUUUCCCUUCUCCUUGCUGCAACAUUAAGAGCUGAGCUAGAGGCCAUUCUGCACAAGGACCAGUUCCCCUCUGCCCUGUGUGAGGAGAGGGAGUUGGGAUCCAAGAGAAGAGGAAUUCCAGAAGGGACACUGCCCUUUUGCUGUUUUUCCUUAGUGUGACCCGGGCAGGGAGCGCAAGUUUUUGAUUUUCCAAGUGUCUCCCUGUUCUGCUAGUUAACACCAGAGUCAGCCCUUAGCCAGAGCCUGGCCUAUAGCUGGACUCCAUCACCCUGUGGCACAGGGACCAGUCCUCUGUGAGAGUGGAAGAGGACAAAGC